CCUGUUCUGGGUCGAUCAUGAUAAUGAUGCUUUUUCUUUUUCGUCUUAGAAAUGCCAACUGUUUUCACAUCUAGUGGCUGUCCCUUCAACCUCAGCUUCCCGCCAACAACGUUUUCAUAUGCCGACAUCUCACCGUCGACCACCGAAAAAUAGUCAAAGUCACCUGGAAUUUUCUUUUCUCCCCUUGGUUGUGGUAGGUUCGAGAACCGAC
rnacentral:misc_RNA from 1 species